UACAGAGGGUGCGAGCGUUGCUCGGAAUCACUGGGCGUAAAGCGCACGUAGGCGGCUUACUAAGUCAGGGGUGAAAUCCUGGAGCUCAACUCCAGAACUGCCUUUGGUACUGGUGAGCUUGAGUCCGGAAGAGGUGAGUGGAACUGCGAGUGUAGAGGUGAAAUUCGUAGAUAUUCGCAAGAACACCAGUGGCGAAGGCGGCUCACUGGUCCGGUACUGACGCUGAGGUGCGAAAGCGUGGGGAGCAAACAGG
rnacentral:rRNA from 1 species